rnacentral:piRNA from 1 species
UGUGAACACAGCUGUAUAGCUAUUUGCUAU